rnacentral:rRNA from 1 species
UACGUAGGGGGCUAGCGUUGUCCGGAUUUAUUGGGCGUAAAGAGCUCGUAGGUGGUUCGGUAAGUCGGAUGUGAAAUCUCCAGGCUCAACCUGGAGGGGUCAUUCGAUACUGCCGUGACUAGAGUUCGGUAGAGGAGUGUGGGAUUCCUGGUGGAGCGGUGAAAUGCGCAGAGAUCAGGAGGAACACCCGUAGCGAAGGCGGCACUCUGGGCCGAUACUGACACUGAGGAGCGAAAGCGUGGGGAGCGAACAGG